GGAGAGGUGCUAGAGUGGCCGAAUAGAGCACACUGCUAAUGUGUUGAACUGUAAAAGGUUCCGUGGGUUCGAAUCCCACCCUCUCCG
rnacentral:tRNA from 1 species